CCUACGGGCGGCAGCAGUGGGGAAUAUUGCACAAUGGGCGAAACCCUGAUCCAGCGACGUCGCGUGAGUGAAGAAGUAUCUCGGUAUGUAAAGCUUCAUCUGUAGGGAAGAAAAUGACGGUACCUGACCAUGAAGGCCCGGCUAACAACGUGCCGGCACCAGUGGUGAUGUGUAGGGGGCAGCCGUUAUCCGGAUUUACUGGGUGUAAAGGGAGCGUAGAGGGCAGCACAAGUCUGGAGUGAAAUCCCGGGGCUUAACCCCGGAACUGCUUUGGAAACUGUGCGGCUGGAGUGCAGGAGGGGUAAGCGGAAUUCGUAGUGUAGCGGUGAAAUGCGUAGAUAUUAGGAAGAACACCGGUGGCGAAGGCGGCUUACUGGAGUGUAACUAACGUUGAGGCUCGAAAGCGUGGGGAGCAAACAGGAUUAGAUACCCUUGUAGUC
rnacentral:rRNA from 1 species